AUUGAACGCUGGCGGCAUGCCUUACACAUGCAAGUCGAACGGUAACGGGUCCUUCGGGAUGCCGACGAGUGGCGAACGGGUGAGUAAUAUAUCGGAACGUGCCCAGUAGUGGGGGAUAACUGCUCGAAAGAGCAGCUAAUACCGCAUACGACCUGAGGGUGAAAGGGGGGGAUCGCAAGACCUCCCGCUAUUGGAGCGGCAGAUAUCAGAUUAGCUAGUUGGUGGGGUAAAGGCCUACCAAGGCAACGAUCUGUAGUUGGUCUGAGAGGACGACCAGCCACACUGGGACUGAGACACGGCCCAGACUCCUACGGGAGGCAGCAGUGGGGAAUUUUGGACAAUGGGCGCAAGCCUGAUCCAGCAAUGCCGCGUGCAGGAAGAAGGCCUUCGGGUUGUAAACUGCUUUUGUCAGGGAAGAAAUCUUCUGGGCUAAUACCCCGGGAGGAUGACGGUACCUGAAGAAUAAGCACCGGCUAACUACGUGCCAGCCGCCGCAGUAA
rnacentral:rRNA from 1 species